UGAAACUCCAACCCCUGUGAACCUACCUUUACUGUUGCUUCGGCGGAAUAUGGCCCCCCGGGCCGGACGCCGCCGGAGGUUACAAACCCUGAAUUUUAGUGUAUCUCUGAGCACAAAACCAAAUAAUUAAAACUUUCAACAACGGAUCUCUUGGUUCUGGCAUCGAUGAAGAACGCAGCGAAAUGCGAUAAGUAAUGUGAAUUGCAGAAUUCAGUGAAUCAUCGAAUCUUUGAACGCACAUUGCGCCCGCCGGUAUUCCGGCGGGCAUGCCUGUCCGAGCGUCAUUUCACCACUCAAGCCCAGCUUGGUGUUGGGGCACCCGGCCGCCCGGCGGUCGGGGCCCCCAAGAACAUCGGCGGUCUCGCCAGGACCCUGAACGCAGUAACUCGCGGUAAAACGCGCUUCGUUCGGAGGCUUUCCCGGCGGGCUCCAGCCGCUAAACCCCCUAAACUUCUUAGGUUGACCUCGGAUCAGGUAGGAAUACCCGCUGAACUUAAGCAUAUCAAUAAGCGGAGGAA
rnacentral:rRNA from 1 species